rnacentral:rRNA from 1 species
UACGGAAGGCAGCAGUGGGGAAUAUUGCACAAUGGGCGAAAGCCUGAUGCAGCUAUGUCGCGUGUAUGAAGAAGGCCUUAGGGUUGUAAAGUACUUUCAUCGGGGAGGAAAAACAAAACUAAUAAUUUUAUUUCUUGACGUUACCCGAAAAAGAAGCACCGGCUAACUCCGUGCCAGCAGCCGCGGUAAUACGGAGGGUGCUAGCGUUAAUCAGAAUUACUGGGCGUAAAGAGCACGUAGGUGGUUUUUUUAAGUCAGAUGUGAAAUCCCUGGGCUUAACCUGGAACUGCAUUUUGAAACUGAAAUACUAGAGUAUCGUAGAGGGAGGUAGAAUUCUAGGUGUAGCGGUGAAAUGCGUAGAUAUCUGGAGGAAUACCUGUGGCGAAAGCGGCCUCCUAAACGAAUACUGACACUGAGGUGCGAAAGCGUGGGGAGCAAACAGGGAUUAGAUACC